GAAUAGAUACCCGGGUAGUCCACGCCGUAAACGAUGGAUGCUAGCUAUUGGGGGGAAUCGACCCCCCUCCGGAAGCGAAGCUAACGCGUUAAGCAUCCCGCCUGAGUAGUACGAGCGCAAGCUUAAAACUCAAAGGAAUUGACGGGGACCCGCACAAGCGGUGGAGCGUGUGGUUUAAUUCGAUGGUAAACGAAGAACCUUACCAAGGUUUGACAUCCCGGUAGCCGUUCUCCGAAAGGAGAAUUUCAUUUAGUUGGACCGGUGACAGGUGAUGCAUGGCCGUCGUCAGCUCGUGUCGUGAGAUGUUGGGUUAAGUCCCGCAACGAGCGCAACCCUUAUGAUUUAGUUGGAUUUUUCUAAACAGACUGCCCUGGUAACAGGGAGGAAGGAGGGGAUGAUGUCAGGUCAGUAUUUCCCUUACACCUUGGGCGACACACGCGCUACAAUGGCCGGUACAAUGGGCAGCUAAGCCGCGAGGUGGAGCAAAUCCCAUCAAAGCCGGUCCCAGUUCGGAUUGCAGGCUGAAACCCGGCCUGCAUGAAGCCGGAAUCGCUAGUAACC
rnacentral:rRNA from 1 species